GUCGUGUUACGAGCAUGCUCUAGGUAGGCUGGCUGUUUGUUAGGUAUAUUAAAUGCAUUUUCAACUUACAGUGCUUUCAACGUGUGGUAGAUUUACCCAGUCACAGUCCCACUGUAAACUGAGGAACACCUGCACUCAUUUCUGUUCUGGAAGAGGCAGACAGAGGUGUAGGUCUGGCAGAUAGGGGGCCCUCGCACAGCCCUUGAGUGCUCCCCAAAAUCCCACCUCGGGCCCCAGGUGAUGCUGGCCACGAACAGGAGUUCCCUGCCCUUCCACCCAAACACCAUCUGUAGCGUGCUGGCAGGAACCCAGGAACUGUGGUGGCUUUCCUAGACCUCCAUCUUGUCCUCAGCAACUAACAAGGCAACAGCUAGACCACCUCUAUCUUCCUGAUCAAACCAUGGUCGAUGUAACUCCUAAGGUUAGGAAACUGUUUACAAGCUAGCCAUGUUUAUCUGGUCAAGACCCAGAAAAAUUAUCUGAACCUCACAGCCAAGAAACACUGGUGAUCUUGAGCUUUGUGCUAAUCAUUCCCCUCACUUUUCUUUGUAGUUCUACCUGUGUGCCUAUCCUCAGUAAUAUUUACUUGGCCCUCGUGGGUUCUGCAUCCACAUCCGUGGAUUCAACCAACCACAGAUCGAAAAUAUUUGAAAAAAAUCUCAGAAAAAACCCCAAAACUUGAAGCUAUUAUACAAGUAGUGCGCUGAAUCCACAUGAAUGAAGUGAUAUGUAGGCACUGUACUAGGUAUAAUGUCAUCUAGACAUGAUUUAAGGUAGGAGUAUGUUGCUAGUUUAUGUGCAAAUGCUAUGUUGUUUUACAUAAGGGGCUUCAGCAGCCACUGAUUUUGGUAUCCACAGGGGUUCCUGGAUCCAAUCCUCUGGAUACCAAGGCAGGACUGUAUUGCCUAUUUGUGAAAAUGGAGGGCCAGCACACACCGCCCCUGCUGGACGGAGGCUACAGGAGGAGGGCUACUCAGACUUCCAGAAGAGAGCUUUCUGGUCCCUUGUCUGGGAGUGAAGAGUCCGGCUGCUGGCGCUCUGGAGAUGCGCGGAGGAGAGCAGAGGGCCAUUCCACACUCCACUGUACAGCCCCUGCACAACACUGCUUCUGUGAGGCACUCAUGCCUCCACUGUGCCCCAGCUGAGACACCCGCUUCUUAUGGUGGCCAAAGAAUAAUCCCCUAGACUUCUGCCUUUGCCAGCCAAUUGUCCUUCUCCUGCUGUGUCCUCCUGUGAGCCCUAGUGCCCAGACCAGCUGACUGGAACAGGAGUGCCAGCCCCACACACAGGACUCAAACUCAAUCUGUGACAGAAGGCCACUCCCACCCCCUGAAUGGUGGAGGAGCAGGUGACACAGGUGGGAGGCUACCCCCAGCACGAGCACGAGCACGAG
rnacentral:lncRNA from 1 species